GUAGGUGAACCUGCGGAAGGAUCAUUGUNGAAUCCUGCACAGCAGAACAANNNGAGAACCGGUUCACAACCACUGGGGAGACUGGGGCGAUCCCCCUGCUCUCCCAAAUCCCACGGUCGUGGGUGCCUUCCUCAGGUCCACGGCUUCGGGCAAACAACAAACCCCGGCACGGAAAGUGCCAAGGAACUUGAAUAAGAGAAGCGCCGUCCACGACCCCCGUCCGCGGGUGUCGCGGGAUUCAGCGCCUCCUUCUCUAUCAAUAUCAAAACGACUCUCGGCAACGGAUAUCUCGGCUCUCGCAUCGAUGAAGAACGUAGCGAAAUGCGAUACUUGGUGUGAAUUGCAGAAUCCCGUGAACCAUCGAGUCUUUGAACGCAAGUUGCGCCCUAAGCCAUUCGGCCGAGGGCACGUCUGCCUGGGCGUCAAUCAUCAAUUCGUCACCCAACCGCCUCCCACCCAGAAGGGAGCUCGGAGCUUGGGUACGGAAGUUGGCCUCCCGUGUUGUUCAAGCGCGGCUGGCCUAAAAACGAGCAUCGGAUUGAUGAUCUCCGAGGCACGCGGUGGUUGUUCAUUCUUACCUCGUGACGUUGCCCGGAGCGUCUCUCAUAAGGAGCUCCACGACCCUAGAU
rnacentral:rRNA from 1 species